GUGGGGAAUCUUCCACAAUGGACGAAAGUCUGAUGGAGCAACGCCGCGUGAGUGAAGAAGGGUUUCGGCUCGUAAAGCUCUGUUGUCGGGGACGAAUGUGCAGUAUUUGAAUAAAGUAGUGCAAUGACGGUACCUGACGAGGAAGCCACGGCUAACUACGUGCCAGCAGCCGCAGUAAUACGUAGGUGGCAAGCGUUGUCCGGAAUUAUUGGGCGUAAAGGGAGCGCAGGCGGGAAGGUAAGUCGGUCUUAAAAGUGCGGGGCUCAACCCCGUGAUGGGAUCGAAACUAUCUUUCUUGAGUGCAGGAGAGGAAAGUGGAAUUCCUAGUGUAGCGGUGAAAUGCGUAGAUAUUAGGAGGAACACCAGUGGCGAAGGCGACUUUCUGGACUGUAACUGACGCUGAGGCUCGAAAGCCAGGGGAGCGAACGGGAUUAGAAACCCCAGUAGUCC
rnacentral:rRNA from 1 species